rnacentral:rRNA from 1 species
GAUGAACGCUGGCGGCGUGCCUAAUACAUGCAAGUCGAGCGAACGGACGAGAAGCUUGCGUCUCUGAUGUUAGCGGCGGACGGGUGAGUAACACGUGGAUAACCUACCUAUAAGACUGGGAUAACUUCGGGAAACCGGAGCUAAUACCGGAGGAUAUUUUGAACCGCAUGGUUCAAAAGUGAAAGACGGUCUUGCUGUCACUUAUAGAUGGAUCCGCGCUGCAUUAGCUAGUUGGUAAGGUAACGGCUUACCAAGGCAACGAUGCAUAGCCGACCUGAGAGGGUGAUCGGCCACCCUGGAACUGGGCCACGGUCCAGGCUCCUACGGGAGGCAGCAGUAGGGAAUCUUCCGCAAUGGGCGAAAGCCUGACGGAGCAACGCCGCGUGAGUGAUGAAGGUCUUCGGAUCGUAAAACUCUGUUAUUAGGGAAGAACAUAUGUGUAAGUAACUGUGCACAUCUUGACGGUACCUAAUCAGAAAGCCCCGGCUAACUACGUG